rnacentral:tRNA from 1 species
GCGGUUCUGGGAGAGCGCGGGAACGCCGCCCGGGCAGGGUGGGGGCGGGUGGCUUCCGCACGGCCGCCCCGCGCGUUCAGCUCGCGCCGGGCCGUG